GACGAACGCUGGCGGCGUGCUUAACACAUGCAAGUCGAACGGAAAGGCCCUGCUUUUGUGGGGUGCUCGAGUGGCGAACGGGUGAGUAACACGUGAGUAACCUGCCCUUGACUUUGGGAUAACUUCAGGAAACUGGGGCUAAUACCGGAUAGGAGCUCCUGCUGCAUGGUGGGGGUUGGAAAGUUUCGGCGGUUGGGGAUGGACUCGCGGCUUAUCAGCUUGUUGGUGGGGUAGUGGCUUACCAAGGCUUUGACGGGUAGCCGACCUGAGAGGGUGACCGGCCACAUUGGGCCUGAGAUACGGCCCAGACUCCUACGGGAGGCAGCAGUGGGGAAUAUUGCACAAUGGGCGGAAGCCUGAUGCAGCAGCGCCGCGUGCGGGAUGACGGCCUUCGGGUUGUAAACCGCUUUCGCCUGUGACGAAGCGUGAGUGACGGUAAUGGGUAAAGAAGCACCGGCUAACUACGUG
rnacentral:rRNA from 1 species